UUUCUUAGUUGGUGUAAAUGUCACGAUAGAUUUUGAAUUUAUAAGAAGGCAUAGUCCUAUAAGAAAA
rnacentral:tRNA from 1 species